rnacentral:rRNA from 1 species
GACGAACGCUGGCGGCGUGCUUAACACAUGCCAGUCGAACGGAAAGGCCCUGCUUUUGUGGGGUGCUCGAGUGGCGAACGGGUGAGUAACACGUGAGUAACCUGCCCUUGACUUUGGGAUAACUUCAGGAAACUGGGGCUAAUACCGGAUAGGAGCUCCUGCUGCAUGGUGGGGGUUGGAAAGUUUCGGCGGUUGGGGAUGGACUCGCGGCUUAUCAGCUUGUUGGUGGGGUAGUGGCUUACCAAGGCUUUGACGGGUAGCCGGCCUGAGAGGGUGACCGGCCACAUUGGGACUGAGAUACGGCCCAGACGCCUACGGGAGGCAGCAGUGGGGAAUAUUGCACAAUGGGCGGAAGCCUGAUGCAGCAACGCAGCGUGCGGGAUGACGGCCUUCGGGUUGUAAACCGCUUUCGCCUGUGACGAAGCGUGAGUGACGGUAAUGGGUAAAGAAGCACCGGCUAACUACGUG